AGGUUCAACGGUGGGUAUUACUGUAGGGAGCUACCUAUCUGCUUGGAUUUGUUCAUCGAGCGUACUCGGUGGAUGGCCAGUAUCUUUUUAUACCUAUGGCUGUUUAGGUUUAAUAUGGGCUUUUUUCUGGAAAUUGUUUGUAUUCGACACUGCAAACCAACAUCCAUGCAUAUCACAGAGUGAGAUUGCCUUUCUGGAGUCAAAUUCAAGGACAUUUAAAUCGGAUGUCAAAUUUGAAUAUGUUCCCUGGUUGGCCAUCUUUACUUCACCACCAGUUCUGGCAAUUGUCAUUAGCUUCUUUACAUACGACUUCGGGUUUUAUACGAUCAUUACAGAAAUACCAACAUUUUUGUCUU